CAUAGGUUAAUGAGGCGAACCGGGGGAACUGAAACAUCUAAGUACCCCGAGGAAAAGAAAUCAACCGAGAUUCCCCCAGUAGCGGCGAGCGAACGGGGAGGAGCCCAGAGCCUGAAUCAGUGUGUGUGUUAGUGGAAGCGUCUGGAAAGGCGCGCGAUACAGGGUGACAGCCCCGUACACAAAAAUGCACAUAUUGUGAGCUCGAUGAGUAGGGCGGGACACGUGGUAUCCUGUCUGAAUAUGGGGGGACCAUCCUCCAAGGCUAAAUACUCCUGACUGACCGAUAGUGAACCAGUACCGUGAGGGAAAGGCGAAAAGAACCCCGGCGAGGGGAGUGAAAAAGAACCUGAAACCGUGUACGUACAAGCAGUGGGAGCCUCUUAAUGGGGUGACUGCGUACCUUUUGUAUAAUGGGUCAGCGACUUAUAUUCUGUAGCAAGGUUAACCGAAUAGGGGAGCCGAAGGGAAACCGAGUCUUAACUGGGCGUUAAGUUGCAGGGUAUAGACCCGAAACCCGGUGAUCUAGCCAUGGGCAGGUUGAAGGUUGGGUAACACUAACUGGAGGACCGAACCGACUAAUGUUGAAAAAUUAGCGGAUGAC
rnacentral:rRNA from 2 species